UUAGUGGCACAUCUUGAAAUAAACCACUUAGCAUGAAAUGCACUCUGUACUGUACAGGCCUGUGUAACACAGCUGAAUGUGUGAUUCCAUGUUUUGGAGAGUGCGAGAAAAGCACAGACAUCAAGGCUAAAAUAGAAGCUCAUCAGAAAUCACAUUUGUUUUGUUUCAUCUCGAGCUGCCAGAGAAUUGGCAUGAAAAGAUUGAUUGCGGAAGUAUCCUCCACCAGCCACGGAAAGUUCUGGAACGAAGGGGGUGGAGGGUGAUCUCCACCUGUCUGAGUGGAGAUAAAAUGCGGAUUGAGGCUAGCAUGCUGCUUUCUUUAACAUAUUUUCGCUCCCUCUGUAGGCGCUCAGAGGGCACUUUGAUCAGCACUUUAUCUGUGUGGCUGAGGCCUAAUCCUGUGUUUGCUUCACGUUUAAGCCGGAUCACUGUGCCCGAAUCAAAGGGAAUGGCCACAGAUCAGAGGAAGAGGAAGACGUACCCAUGCGAGGAUGCACAGACUCACUCAGAUUAUUCCAUCGGCUUUCCAAUGACCUCCCCAUGGUGCAAUCCACAUGGAGAGAUAGAGCGAGUCCUCAGACUCCGUGUGACUGAUCGAAAGAUGGAAACUUCUGGCAGGCACUGACACUCUGUUAUAUCUUGGCAACAGCGGACCUGAGGUUGCUGCGUCAGACCCAGCACCCUCUGCACACAUUUUUGUCUGUCUAAUUAACACCUGUGUGUGUCUGGCUCCCAGAAGCCCAGACACCUGUCCCCCAGUUCAUAGAGCUGCUGUCAGCCCUGUAAGUGUGUCCGUGUGUAUAUACAGAAG
ensembl:lncRNA